rnacentral:rRNA from 1 species
GGAAUAUUGGGCAAUGGAGGCAACUCUGACCCAGCAACGCCGCGUGAACGAUGAAGGGCUUCGGCUUGUAAAGUUCUUUUCUAAGGGAAGAAGAAAGUGGCGGUACCUUAGGAAUAAGCCUCGGCUAACUACGUGCCAGCAGCCGCGGUAAGACGUAGGAGGCAAGCGUUAUCCGGAAUGACUGGGCGUAAAGGGUGGGUAGGUGGUUUGACAAGUUGGUAGCGUAACUCCGGAGCUCAACUUCGGAACUACUACCAAAACUGUUGGACUCGAGUGCAGGAGGGGCAACUGGAAUUUCUAGUGUAGCGGUGGAAUGCGUAGAUAUUAGGAAGAACACCGGUGGCGAAGGCGAGUUGCUGGACUGUAACUGACACUGAGGCACGAAAGCGUGGGGAGCAAA